CUGAGCUCAAAUCAGGUAGGACUACCCGCUGAACUUAACCAUAUCAAUA
rnacentral:rRNA from 1 species